rnacentral:rRNA from 1 species
GCAAGUCGAACGGUAACAUUGAAGCUUGCUUUUCUGAUGACGACCGGCGCACGGGUGCGUAACGCGUAUGCAACCUACCUCUUACUGGGGAAUAGCCCGGAGAAAUCCGGAUUAAUGCCCCAUAGUAUUGCUUCUUCGCAUGUUGAAGCAAUUAAAGGUUACGGUAAGAGAUGGGCAUGCGUCCCAUUAGCUAGAUGGUAAGGUAACGGCUUACCAUGGCAACGAUGGGUAGGGGGCCUGAGAGGGUGAUC